rnacentral:rRNA from 2 species
UACAUGCAAGUCGAGCGAACUGAUUAGAAGCUUGCUUCUAUGACGUUAGCGGCGGACGGGUGAGUAACACGUGGGCAACCUGCCUGUAAGACUGGGAUAACUUCGGGAAACCGAAGCUAAUACCGGAUAGGAUCUUCUCCUUCAUGGGAGAUGAUUGAAAGAUGGUUUCGGCUAUCACUUACAGAUGGGCCCGCGGUGCAUUAGCUAGUUGGUGAGGUAACGGCUCACCAAGGCAACGAUGCAUAGCCGACCUGAGAGGGUGAUCGGCCACACUGGGACUGAGACACGGCCCAGACUCCUACGGGAGGCAGCAGUAGGGAAUCUUCCGCAAUGGACGAAAGUCUGACGGAGCAACGCCGCGUGAGUGAUGAAGGCUUUCGGGUCGUAAAACUCUGUUGUUAGGGAAGAACAAGUACGAGAGUAACUGCUUGUACCUUGACGGUACCUAACCAGAAAGCCACGGCUAACUACGUGCCAGCAGCCGCGGUAAUACGUAGGUGGCAAGCGUUAUCCGGAAUUAUUGGGCGUAAAGCGCGCGCAGGCGGUUUCUUAAGUCUGAUGUGAAAGCCCACGGCUCAACCGUGGAGGGUCAUUGGAAACUGGGGAACUUGAGUGCAGAAGAGAAAAGCGGAAUUCCACGUGUAGCGGUGAAAUGCGUAGAGAUGUGGAGGAACACCAGUGGCGAAGGCGGCUUUUUGGUCUGUAACUGACGCUGAGGCGC